rnacentral:lncRNA from 1 species
GGGAGACGGGGGUCCACCCGACAACCCUUGGUGCUGGUGGGGGCGCUAAGGGAGCUCCAAGCUCUCAGAAGGGUGCUGCUCCCUGGGCGAGGUACGUUUUGGCUUUUUGACUUUUCUUUUGAUUUUUUGUUUUUCUCUUUCUUUUAAUCCGCGUUAGCUCCUCAUUAGCCGGAAGCAUAAGGUGGCAGCGGUGGGGCUGGUUCCCCUAAAGGCCGUGAAGAGGGGGGCGCAGUCGACCCCAGGGUCGGCGAAGCCCAAGUGGCCGCCCCCCUGAACCGUGAGGAGGGCGAGCUCCUCCAGGAAGAAGGGGGGCAGGAGAUGGGGGGAAGACGCUAGACACCUCGGCGAAGGAGAUGGGGACGCCGAGGCCCCAGGAGUCAGGGUAGACGGUCCUGGCCCUCGGGGCUAUUCCCCCUUCGGGGGAUGCUAGCCGAGGGGGCUAUGACCAUCAAGCCGAGGAGGGCCCAGCCAAAGUGGCGCUCAGCGUGGUGCGCCCUGGGAGGCCCCAUGGGAAGGGGCCGGCCCAACCCGAGGCCCCUGCAAGGGAGAGGGGAGGG